UACGGAGGGAGCUAGCGUUGUUCGGAUAUACUGGGCGUAAAGCGCACGUAGGCGGCGUCGUAAGUCAGGGGUGAAAUCCCGGAGCUCAACUCCGGAACUGCCCUAGAAACUGCAAUGCUAGAAUCUUGGAGAGGCGAGUGGAAUUCCGAGUGUAGAGGUGAAAUUCGUAGAUAUUCGGAAGAACACCAGUGGCGAAGGCGACUCGCUGGACAAGUAUUGACGCUGAGGUGCGAAAGCGUGGGGAGCAAACAGG
rnacentral:rRNA from 1 species